rnacentral:rRNA from 1 species
GACGAACCGUGCGAACGUUGUUCGGAAUCACUGGGCUUAAAGGGCGCGUAGGCGGGUCAGCAAGUCAGGGGUGAAAUCCCACGGCUCAACCGUGGAAGUGCCUUUGAUACUGCUGGUCUUGAGGGAGGUAGGGGCGUGCGGAACUUCCGGUGGAGCGGUGAAAUGCGUAGAUAUCGGAAGGAACACCGGUGGCGAAAGCGGCGCGCUGGAUCUCUACUGACGCUGAGGCGCGAAAGCCAGGGGAGCAAACGGG